rnacentral:rRNA from 1 species
UGCAAGUGAACGCUUGAUUUCACCGAAGCUUGCUUCACCGAAAAUCAAGAGUAGCGAACGGGUGAGUAACGCGUGGGUAACCUACCUAUCAGCGGGGGAUAACUAUUGGAAACGAUAGCUAAUACCGCAUAACAAUGUGGGAUGCAUAUUCGACAUUUGAAAGUACCAACUGGUACACUGAGAGAUGGACCCGCGUUGUAUUAGCUAGUUGGUAGUGUAAUGGACUACCAAGGCGAUGAUACAUAGCCGACCUGAGAGGGUGAUCGGCCACAUUGGGACUGAGACACGGCCCAAACUCCUACGGGAGGCAGCAGUAGGGAAUCUUCGGCAAUGGACGAAAGUCUGACCGAGCAACGCCGCGUGAGUGAAGAAGGUUUUCGGAUCGUAAAACUCUGUUGUUAGAGAAGAACGUUGCAUAGAGUGGAAAAUUAUGCAAGUGACGGUAUCUAACCAGAAAGGGACGGCUAACUACGUGCCAGCAGCCGCGGUAAUACGUAGGUCCCGAGCGUUGUCCGGAUUUAUUGGGCGUAAAGCGAGCGCAGGUGGUUUAAUAAGUCUGAUGUAAAAGGCAGUGGCUCAACCAUUGUGUGCAUUGGAAACUGUUAGACUUGAGUGCAGUAGAGGAGAGUGGAAUUCCAUGUGUAGCGGUGAAAUGCGUAGAUAUAUGGAGGAACACCGGUGGCGAAAGCGGCUCUCUGGACUGUCACUGACACUGAGGCUCGAAAGCGUGGGUAGCAAACAGGAUUAGAUACCCUGGUAGUCCACGCCGUAAACGAUGAGUGCUAGUUGUUUGGGGCUAUCCAGCCCUAAGUGACGCAGCAAACGCAUUAAGCACUCCGCCUGGGGAGUACGACCGCAAGGUUGAAACUCAAAUGAAUU